CAAUAGCGUAUAUUAAAGUUGUUGCGGUUAAAAAGCUCGUAGUUGGAUUUCUGCCGAGGACGACCGGUCCGCCCUCUGGGUGAGCAUCUGGGAUGGCCUGGGCAUCUUCUUGGAGAACGUGUCUGCACUUGACUGUGUGGGGCGGUAUCCAGGACUUUUACUUUGAGGAAAUUAGAGUGUUUCAAGCAGGCAUACGCCUUGAAUACAUUAGCAUGGAAUAAUAAGAUAGGACCUCGGUUCUAUUUUGUUGGUUUCUAGAGCUGAGGUAAUGAUUAAUAGGGAUAGUUGGGGGUGCUAGUAUUGGGAGGCCAGAGGUGAAAUUCUUGGAUUCUCUCAAGACUAACUUAUGCGAAAGCAUUCACCAAGGAUGUCUUCUUUAAUCAAGAACGAAAGUUGGGGGAUCGAAGACGAUUAGAUACCGU
rnacentral:rRNA from 1 species